GUCACAGCACGUUGACAGAAUUUGGGAAUUUUUUAUGAUUACCUACAUGCCCAUAUUUGAUAUAUUAUACUUGUGUUUUCAAUCCCUUUAAGGGAUAUUGUCCUUUUUUGAUUUUAUUUUCUAAUUGGCCAUUAGAAUUUUAAUGUAAGAUCCCUAAUACAGCUUUUUACAUUCACCUAUUUGGGCUGUUGGUUCCUGCAUACAGGAGUGUAGUCCUCAACUACACAACGUGCUGUGACAGAGCCGAUAUAGAGGCUCCACCUUUGUGAGUACAUUGUUUACUACUUUAUAUUGGAUCACUGGUUAUUGGAU